AUGUCUUCUAAUUGUUUUGGAAUUGGUGGAAUCACAAUAUACAACUUGUGUUCUGUUAUUUGGAUCUCUCUUUGGAGAUUUUGCCUGCUAUUAUGUCUUCUAAUUGUUUUGGAAUUGGUGGAAUCACAAUAUACAACUUGUGUUCUGUUAUUUGGAUCUCUCUUUGGAGAUUUUGCCUGCUAUUUUGUCAAUGUAUUGUGCUUAUUUUGCGGUCUUGAUUCCUCUAUUUAA